GAUGUACGCUGGCAGCGUGCCUAAUACAUGCAAGUCGAGCGAAUGGAUUAAGAGCUUGCUCUUAUGAAGUUAGCGGCGGACGGGUGAGUAACACGUGGGUAACCUGCCCAUAAGACUGGGAUAACUCCGGGAAACCGGGGCUAAUACCGGAUAACAUUUUGAACCGCAUGGUUCGAAAUUGAAAGGCGGCUUCGGCUGUCACUUAUGGAUGGACCCGCGUCGCAUUAGCUAGUUGGUGAGGUAACGGCUCACCAAGGCAACGAUGCGUAGCCGACCUGAGAGGGUGAUCGGCCACACUGGGACUGAGACACGGCCCAGACUCCUACGGGAGGCAGCAGUAGGGAAUCUUCCGCAAUGGACGAAAGUCUGACGGAGCAACGCCGCGUGAGUGAUGAAGGCUUUCGGGUCGUAAAACUCUGUUGUUAGGGAAGAACAAGUGCUAGCUGAAUAAGCUGGCACCUUGACGGUACCUAACCAGAAAGCCACGGCUAACUACGUGCCAGCCGCCGCAGUAA
rnacentral:rRNA from 1 species